GUUCAACUGCUAUCUACAUCGAAGUUAGGCAGCUGCUACGCGCACAAUGUCACAUCGAUAAGGAUGCUUCUAAAUAAGUUUGUAGAUUUCCAUGUGGCCACUACCCCGGCACUGCGGCAACAUAUUAAAAAGUCAAUCCUUUAGCCAUACUUAUUCAGGGCAUUAAACUUGGCUGUAGCAGAGGUACGGAGAAAGAGAAUAGAAAUUCGGGCUUACGCUAAAUAACUACGUAUGUCGAGAUAAGGUGUACCCAAUCUGAUGCCAUGUUUGAUAUGAUUUCAUUUUGCUAAGCUAUGAUUUCCAACCCCUAUAGAAGUGGUAACGACCGACCACCAGAGAUCUUUCUCUACCUAGUUUAAACAAUAGUAGGUUUCUAGAAGCGCGAUAAAGUAUUUGUUUGUUAAAAAGCUUUAAGGGAGUAACAGGAGCCGCUAAAAAAAUUUUACAUAAAAGUGAAAGAACCAACUUGAAAUUGUGAGUGAAAUAAAGUUUCUCUG